rnacentral:piRNA from 1 species
UGCCUGAUUGAGGACACUUCCGAUGCCUUC